ensembl:lncRNA LINC02028 long intergenic non-protein coding RNA 2028
GCGGCGGGGGAAACCCGAGCUCCCAACAAAACGGUUCCAUCUUUGGCUAGGCCUUUGGUAUUUCAAGGCGCUGCCGGUGGGGAGAGAUGCCGCGUGCCUGAGAGGCUCUGGGAGGCACCAAAGAAGGCCCAGAGAGGUUUAACAACUUCCUCAGAAUCACACAGCUUCCAAAUGGUUGGGUUGGGUUUACAUUUAGGCGGUCUUGCUCCAGAGCCAGUGCUCCUAACCUUUGCAAGCCACGAACCUCAAGAAAGUGGAGAAGGAAACGCUGGGAAAUCUGGAAGUCAGACAUGGCAACCUAGUUUAUCUCCCGGGAGCUGACUUCAUUUCUAAACG